CCUACGGGAGGCUGCAGUGGGGAAUAUUGGACAAUGGGGGCAACCCUGAUCCAGCCAUGCCGCGUGUGUGAAGAAGGCCCUCGGGUUGUAAAGCACUUUCAGUGAGGAAGAACGCCUGGUGGUUAAUACCCAUCAGGAAAGACAUCACUCACAGAAGAAGCACCGGCUAACUCCGUGCCAGCAGCCGCGGUAAUACGGAGGGUGCGAGCGUUAAUCGGAAUUACUGGGCGUAAAGCGCGCAUAGGUGGCUUGAUAAGCCGGUUGUGAAAGCCCCGGGCUCAACCUGGGAACGGCAUCCGGAACUGUCAAGCUAGAGUGCAGGAGAGGAAGGUAGAAUUCCCGGUGUAGCGGUGAAAUGCGUAGAGAUCGGGAGGAAUACCAGUGGCGAAGGCGGCCUUCUGGACUGACACUGACACUGAGGUGCGAAAGCGUGGGUAGCAAACAGGAUUAGAUACCCUUGUAGUC
rnacentral:rRNA from 1 species